UGCAAGUCGAACGAUGAACCACUUCGGUGGGGAUUAGUGGCGAACGGGUGAGUAACACGUGGGCAAUCUGCCCUGCACUCUGGGACAAGCCCUGGAAACGGGGUCUAAUACCGGAUACUGACCAUCUUGGGCAUCUUUGAUGGUCGAAAGCUCCGGCGGUGCAGGAUGAGCCCGCGGCCUAUCAGCUAGUUGGUGAGGUAAUGGCUCACCAAGGCGACGACGGGUAGCCGGCCUGAGAGGGCGACCGGCCACACUGGGACUGAGACACGGCCCAGACUCCUACGGGAGGCAGCAGUGGGGAAUAUUGCACAAUGGGCGAAAGCCUGAUGCAGCGACGCCGCGUGAGGGAUGACGGCCUUCGGGUUGUAAACCUCUUUCAGCAGGGAAGAAGCGAAAGUGACGGUACCUGCAGAAGAAGCGCCGGCUAACUACGUGCCAGCAGCCGCGGUAAUACGUAGGGCGCAAGCGUUGUCCGGAAUUAUUGGGCGUAAAGAGCUCGUAGGCGGCUUGUCACGUCGGUUGUGAAAGCCCGGGGCUUAACCCCGGGUCUGCAGUCGAUACGGGCAGGCUAGAGUUCGGUAGGGGAGAUCGGAAUUCCUGGUGUAGCGGUGAAAUGCGCAGAUAUCAGGAGGAACACCGGUGGCGAAGGCGGAUCUCUGGGCCGAUACUGACGCUGAGGAGCGAAAGCGUG
rnacentral:rRNA from 1 species